CAACGCCGCGUUCGACCGUGUUGCCAUAUAUGACGGAAGGAGAUGAAACACAGGUAUAGCCGACUGGAAAUACAGAUUGGCGCCGUACCAAUUAACCAUCGCGCUUCUCUUUCAUCUGUGCAGCGUGUAAGGUGUACUUUUAUUCAACGGUGCUGCAGUACGGUGGUGAUGCUGCGGAGGGCCAGUGAACCCACCCAAGGCCACGUUACGGGCGAGGGAGCUCUCGCUUUCCGCGAGAGAAGAGCUACGUGGUGGUUGCUGCUACUGUGCAUCAAUGGGGGAGACAGCUGCAGAAACAAACCCAUUGGAAGUGAUGGCUGUCUGAUGGAUCGGGGGUUAACGCCGUACGAUAAAUGAGGAAGAAGACAAACGUUAAGGCGAACGGGUGUGCCCCAGUAUGUCGUCUCCUUGCGAGCGUAGUUCAGAAACGGUGAAACGUCACUUGGUACGGUUAUUGAUGAGAUCAGCCGUGUCGCAAUAAUGCACGACAGGUAUAGACAGGCAUCAAUCCACUCUCUUCCAUCGUUCCAGUCUGACUGUUAAAAUACUUCGCUUGUUGUCUGAUGUAGAAUGCACGAGAUGUCCCCGUGCUUUUUUUAAUUGCGUGGAGAUGCUGGAAAGUUCAAGUUGAGAAUAGAAAUUCGAAGGGGGCCGACUCGGUACAUUAGUGUCCGCCGCGGCCGUGCCUCCUUGAAUUGGCGUUCUUUGGUGGGUUUCUUUGAGAAUAUUACGCGUGUUCUAGCGUGUUUGGCUGGUAGAGUGUGACUUG